CUCAGUAACAGGCAGAGUGCCAUAGUGUCAGUCCCUUUUCCCAAACUCCGAUCAGGAAGGGAAACACCCCCACCCACUCCGCUCCCAUCCCCAGAAGUCCCUCAGAAGCUCUUUUCUCCCCGAAGAGGACCCUGGGAAGGUGGCUCCCGCCUCACUCCUAGAGUGAAAUCCUCGCAGCCCUGCCCUCGCGGGCGGAGCAGAGACGCCGCCGCUUGGCCGGUUCACGCCUGUCACACAAAGCCGCCGAGGGUCGGCUGCGCCCCUGGCAAGGCUGUAGGGCUGGGGAUACUGAGUAUGACAGGCGAGGUCCCUGCUCUCAAGAACUUACAUGGGAGAGAAGGGGAGACAAGAUAAACAGGUAAACACACACACACACACGAUGGAGCAACUCAACCCAAAAAGGUUGGUCUGUAUGGUGACGGAAUGUGGUCUCCCAGUUUUCAGCACAGCACUCAUUCAGCUAUUCUGCUCUUCAGAAAGCAGGAGGGAUGUGCCCUAAGGUGGACUAUUGAAAUGAUGAAAGCCACUGAGGAAGAGCCAGAGAAUUCUCGUAGCUGUGAUUAGACAUCAACCUUGGGCAUGCUAAACAUUUCAGCCUGGACACCCUGAGAAGAGCCAGUGCCACUGGUGACAGCUGCUUCUGUGCGGGCUUUUGCUUGGCCAGAGAGGCAGGACCUUCUCCCUGGCAUUUUGAGGAGUGGUGCCGGGUGGGCAGUGACUGCACUAGCAACAGUCUAUACCAAGAGAAGACCUCAAAUUCCCAGAGAAGAAAGGCAGCGAGGCCAAGAAAUGCUGCCGCCGCUUAACAAGUGAAGAUGCAUACUGGAGAAUAGGAACUGAACACGCGAAGGAGUUUCGGCUUUACUGCCUUCUCUCCUAGCAUUGAACAGAUCUUCUCUGCUGUUGAUUAUUCUCCAUGAAUCAUCAUCCAUAGAAAGUGACUGAGGCAAUAGAGAGUGAAUAAUGAAUCUCUCAAAUAGUCUUUUGUGUUUCUGCCUGGAGGGUUUUGGAAAUAACUUGCAUCUUAAUCUUUCUGACUUAGAAUCAUAGAAUUUGGGAGCUGAAAAGGACCUUCAUCAGGGCAUGUGGCCUCACAGAAAGACUGGAAGAAAAGAUUUGUGGGUAUGAGCCUCUGGUUCAUCACUAAAAAUAGGCCUAGUCUAACAUAUAUUGGAGGCUUUCCUUGUGUCAGGUACUCAUUUAUUCUUCCAAAACCUUGGGAGGUAGGUGCUGCUAUUCCUCCAUUCUGCAGAGGAGGAAGAGAUGAGGAGACAGUAGAUCACCAGAGGGCAGUGUGAGGGGUGUGCUGGAACCAUCAUGUGGAACUGGCUCUGGUUCCAGAAUCCACAUCCUCUCGGUCAUUCCACUCCCACAUCAAGUGGCUUUGGACAAGUAAUUUAACUUCUUUGGAUCUCAGUUUUCUCCUCCGUGAUCUCUAAAGUUUAAAAAUUACUAACAGUCUGCAUCUGCCACCCAAGCAUGUGAUUUUACAAGUCAGAAAAGUGUAGCGCAGAAAUGUUAAGUGACCUGCCCUAGGUCACCCAGGUUGCUAAGGGCAGAAUCAGCACAGAAACCCAGGCCCAGUGACCACUGCCCCCAGGCAAGACCUCCUUCCCUUCCACUGCACUUUGGCAGGUGUUCUAGGGGAAUCCAACUCCUUGCCUUAGAGGAGACCUGUUCAAUGAUAUCAGAUAGACUGGAGAUGUUACGUUUUGGUGUGGCCAAUCACAACACCAGGAUGAGCUUAGGAGGCUGGUGAUAUUUGUCUAUCUAAGCACCCCCAACCUAUCUAUCUGUCUGCUGUUUGUCUAUCUUUCUCAGGUUAUGCAUAGUGACCAAACCCCGCCUGGUAACUGUAGGGAAAGAGCAUGACUGGUGUGUUACAGCUACACACGCCCCCUGGUGGUAUUUCCAGUUGUUUGUCCUCUUCAUGCAAAUGUUGCCACCUUGUGCCAGCUCUCUCACCUAGCUUCCUUCAUGACGACAGUGGUUGCAAUUCUGCUCCUCUCUCUGCCUUCCCCUGUCCUUGGCUCCCCAUGUCCAGAAUCUGAUCAUUUACUGGUGUGCACCCUGGGAUGUGAUGUGUGCUUUGGGAGGAGACAGGACCCAACAGUAUCUCAGCUGUGCUCUGGUAAUCAGUGUGCACCACAUUACAAGCAUCCUCAUCCCAGUAUCCUCCCUAUUGAAAAAGAAAUGGGAAAGGGGUGGAUGUGUCAAUAAACACAACAUUGAAGGCAUCU
ensembl:lncRNA INKA2-AS1 INKA2 antisense RNA 1